AACGAACGCUGGCGGCGUGCCUAACACAUGCAAGUCGAACGAAACCUUCGGGUCUUUUGGCGCCCGGGUUCGUAACCCGUCGGAACCUUCACUUAUGUUCGGCAUAACUCCCCGAAAGGGGUGCUAAUACCAAAUAAUGUCUUCUACCCAAAGAUUUAUCGACUUUGAUUGUUCCCGCGUUGAAUUCGCUAGUUGUUAGGGUAAAAGCCUACCAAGGCGACGAUCCAUAGCUGGUCUGAGAGGAUGAUCAGCGACACUGGGACUGAGACACGGCCCAGACUCCUACGGGAGGGAGCAGUGGGGAAUAUUGGAAAACGGGCGAAAGGAUGAUCGAGCAAGGCCGCGUGAGUGAUGAAGGCAUUAGGGUUGUAAAGCGCUUUUAACCGGGAUGAUAAUGACAGUACCGGGAGAAUAAGCUCCGGCUAACUACGUG
rnacentral:rRNA from 1 species